CCUACGGGAGGCAGCAGUGAGGAAUAUUGGUCAAUGGGCGGGAGCCUGAACCAGCCAAGCCGCGUGAGGGAAGAAGGUACAGCGUAUCGUAAACCUCUUUUGUCAGGGAACAAAGGCGGGGACUAGUCCCCGGAUGCGGGUACCUGACGAAAAAGCAUCGGCUAACUCCGUGCCAGCAGCCGCGGUAAUACGGGGGAUGCGAGCGUUAUCCGGAUUUAUUGGGUUUAAAGGGUGCGCAGGCGGCCUGUUCAGUCAGCGGUAAACGCCCGGGGCUCAACCCCGGCGAGCCGUUGAAACUGGCGGGCUGGAGUUGGAGAGAAGUACGCGGAAUGCGCGGUGUAGCGGUGAAAUGCUUAGAUAGCGCGCAGAACCCCGAUUGCGAAGGCAGCGUACCGGCUCCACACUGACGCUGAGGCACGAAAGCGUGGGUAUCGAACAGGAGUAGAUACCCCUGUAGUC
rnacentral:rRNA from 1 species